rnacentral:rRNA from 1 species
GACGAACGCUGGCGGCGUGCCUAAUACAUGCAAGUAGAACGCUGAAGAGAGGAGCUUGCUCUUCUUGGAUGAGUUGCGAACGGGUGAGUAACGCGUAGGUAACCUGCCUGGUAGCGGGGGAUAACUAUUGGAAACGAUAGCUAAUACCGCAUAAAAUGGAUUAUCGCAUGAUAAUCCAUUGAAAGGUGCAAAUGCAUCACUACCAGAUGGACCUGCGUUGUAUUAGCUAGUUGGUGGGGUAACGGCUCACCAAGGCGACGAUACAUAGCCGACCUGAGAGGGUGAUCGGCCACACUGGGACUGAGACACGGCCCAGACUCCUACGGGAGGCAGCAGUAGGGAAUCUUCGGCAAUGGACGGAAGUCUGACCGAGCAACGCCGCGUGAGUGAAGAAGGUUUUCGGAUCGUAAAGCUCUGUUGUAAGAGAAGAACGAGUGUGAGAGGGAAAGUUCACAC